AUACGUAGGUGGCGAGCGUUAUCCGGAUUUACUGGGUGUAAAGGGCGCGUAGGCGGGGAAGCAAGUCAGAUGUGAAAUCCAUGGGCUCAACUCAUGAACUGCAUUUGAAAAUGUUUCUCUUGAGUGCCGGAGAGGUAGACGGAAUUCCUAGUGUAGCGGUGAAAUGCGUAGAUAUUAGGAGGAACACCAGUGGCGAAGGCGGUCUACUGGACGGUAACUGACGCUGAGGCGCGAAAGCGUGGGGAGCAAACAGGAUUAGAUACCCUGGUAGUCCACGCUGUAAACGAUGAAUACUAGGUGUGGGGGGACUGACCCCCUCCGUGCCGCAGUUAACACAAUAAGUAUUCCACCUGGGGAGUACGGCCGCAAGGCUGAAACUCAAAGGAAUUGACGGGG
rnacentral:rRNA from 1 species